rnacentral:rRNA from 1 species
GACGAACGCUGGCGGCGUGCUUAACACAUGCAAGUCGAGCGGGAUCCAACCGGUGGCAACACCGGGGAAGAUCUAGCGGCGAACGGGUGAGUAACACGUGAGCAACCUGCCCCGAAGACUGGGAUAACACCGGGAAACCGGUGCUAAUACCGGAUGUCGUCAUUAGGCCGCAUGACCUGAUGAUGAAAGGAUUCAUCGCUUCGGGAGGGGCUCGCGGGCUAUCAGCUUGNGGUGGGGUAACGGCCUACCAAGGCGACGACGGCUAGCUGGUCUGAGAGGACGACCAGCCACACUGGGACUGAGACACGGCCCAGACUCCUACGGGAGGCAGCAGUGGGGAAUCUUGCGCAAUGGGCGAAAACCUGACGCAGCGACGCCGCGUGAGGGAUGACGGCCU